rnacentral:rRNA from 1 species
GAUCAUGGCUCAGAUUGAACGCUGGCGGAAUGCUUUACACAUGCAAGUCGAACGGUAGAGGGGGCAACCCCUUGAGAGUGGCGAACGGGUGAGUAAUAUAUCGGAACGUGCCCGGUCGUGGGGGAUAACGUAGCGAAAGCUACGCUAAUACCGCAUACGAUCUACGGAUGAAAGCGGGGGAUCGCAAGACCUCGCGCGAUUGGAGCGGCCGAUAUCAGAUUAGGUAGUUGGUGAGGUAAAGGCUCACCAAGCCGACGAUCUGUAGCUGGUCUGAGAGGACGACCAGCCACACUGGGACUGAGACACGGCCCAGACUCCUACGGGAGGCAGCAGUGGGGAAUUUUGGACAAUGGGCGCAAGCCUGAUCCAGCAAUGCCGCGUGCAGGAUGAAGGCCUUCGGGUUGUAAACUGCUUUUGUACGGAACGAAACGGUGAGCUCUAAUACAGUUUGCUAAUGACGGUACCGUAAGAAUAAGCACCGGCUAACUACGUG